AAACUGACGAAAUAACCAGUUUU
rnacentral:snRNA from 1 species